rnacentral:lncRNA from 1 species
GGAGAAUGGAAGAUAAAGUUGGAGACACUUGUAACAAAACUUAAAGAAGGUGUCCCCAGCCUGUAAGAGACUUUCCAGAAAUUGCAAGUCUUGCCUUUAAUGCGGAAGACUCAAAGUUGUGCUUGAGGUUUAUGCCAGGAGGAACCAUUUGCCACCCAAGGAAUGCCUCUCUGGGGGUGACUGGGAGCGUGCUGGAGGCACAGCCCUUGGG